rnacentral:rRNA from 1 species
UAGCACAGAGAGCUUGCUCUCGGGUGACGAGUGGCGGACGGGUGAGUAAUGUCUGGGAAACUGCCUGAUGGAGGGGGAUAACUACUGGAAACGGUAGCUAAUACCGCAUAACGUCGCAAGACCAAAGAGGGGGACCUUCGGGCCUCUUGCCAUCAGAUGUGCCCAGAUGGGAUUAGCUAGUAGGUGGGGUAACGGCUCACCUAGGCGACGAUCCCUAGCUGGUCUGAGAGGAUGACCAGCCACACUGGAACUGAGACACGGUCCAGACUCCUACGGGAGGCAGCAGUGGGGAAUAUUGCACAAUGGGCGCAAGCCUGAUGCAGCCAUGCCGCGUGUAUGAAGAAGGCCUUCGGGUUGUAAAGUACUUUCAGCGGGGAGGAAGGYCAUAAGGUUAAUAACCUUGUCGAUUGACGUUACCCGCAGAAGAAGCACCGGCUAACUCCGUGCCAGCAGCCGCGGUAAUACGGAGGGUGCAAGCGUUAAUCGGAAUUACUGGGCGU